rnacentral:rRNA from 1 species
UACAGAGGGUGCAAGCGUUGUUCGGAAUUAUUGGGCGUAAAGGGCGCGUAGGCGGGCAGGUAAGUCCGUGGUGAAAUCUCCGAGCUUAACUCGGAAACUGCCAUGGAUACUAUUUGUCUUGAAUGUUGUGGAGGUGAGCGGAAUAUGUCAUGUAGCGGUGAAAUGCUUAGAUAUGACAUAGAACACCAAUUGCGAAGGCAGCUCACUACACAAAUAUUGACGCUGAGGCACGAAAGCGUGGGGAUCAAACAGG